UAACGGAACCCAUAAUACAG
rnacentral:miRNA from 1 species